UCCUUUCGUUGCCUGAUCGCCGCCAUCAUGGGUCGCAUGCAUGCUCCCGGGUGAGCUCGGGGCAUCAAGCCGGAUUGCUGGGCGGGGGGUGGGAGGAAGACAGGGAGUGUGGGCAGCGGGCCGAGGGGAUGAUGUUCUGGGCUGCUCUGGCACUAGCCGCCACCUCACCUCGAGACUGCUUCUCUCCCCAGGAAGGGCCUGUCCCAGUCGGCUUUACCCUAUCGACGCAGCGUCCCCACUUGGUUGAAGUUGACAUCUGACGACGUGAAGGAGCAGAUUUACAAACUGGCCAAGAAGGGCCUUACUCCUUCACAGAUCGGUGUAAUCCUGAGAGAUUCACAUGGUGUUGCACAAGUACGUUUUGUGACAGGCAAUAAAAUUUUAAGAAUUCUUAAGUCUAAGGGACUUGCUCCUGAUCUUCCUGAAGAUCUCUACCAUUUAAUUAAGAAAGCAGUUGCUGUUCGAAAGCAUCUUGAGAGGAACAGAAAGGAUAAGGAUGCUAAAUUCCGUCUGAUUCUAAUAGAGAGCCGGAUUCACCGUUUGGCUCGAUAUUAUAAGACCAAGCGAGUCCUCCCUCCCAAUUGGAAAUAUGAAUCAUCUACAGCCUCUGCCCUGGUCGCAUAAAUUUGUCUGUGUACUCAAGCAAUAAAAUGAUUGUUUAACU
rnacentral:lncRNA from 1 species